GGAUAGUUCAGUCGGUAGAGCACGAGACUCUUAAUCUCAGGGUUGUAUGUUCGAGCCCCACCUUAGGCA